rnacentral:rRNA from 1 species
UGGGGAAUUGUUCACAAUGGGCGCAAGCCUGAUGACGCAACGCCGCGUGGAGGAUGAAGGUCUUCGGAUUGUAAACUCCUGUUGCCCGGGACGAAUGGCUCCAACCUAACACGUUGGAGUGUGACGGUACCGGGUGAGGAAGCCCCGGCUAACUCUGUGCCAGCAGCCGCGGUAAUACAGAGGGGGCAAGCGUUGUUCGGAAUUACUGGGCGUAAAGGGCGCGUAGGUGGCCCGCUAAGACGAACGUGAAAUCCCCGAGCUCAACUCGGGAACUGCGUCCGAUACUGGCGGGCUUGAAUCCGGGAGAGGGAUGCGGAAUUCCAGGUGUAGCGGUGAAAUGCGUAGAUAUCUGGAGGAACACCGGUGGCGAAGGCGGCAUCCUGGACCGGCAUUGACGCUGAGGCGCGAAAGCUAGGGGAGCAAACGGGAUUAGAUACCCCGGUAGUCCUAGCCCUAAACGAUGAAUGCUUGGUGUGGCGGGUAUCGAUCCCUGCCGUGCCGAAGCUAACGCAUUAAGCAUUCCGCCUGGGGAGUACGGUCGCAAGGCUGA